UACGAAGGGGGCUAGCGUUGCUCGGAAUCACUGGGCGUAAAGGGCUCGUAGGCGGCCAACUAAGUCAGACGUGAAAUCCCUCGGCUUAACCGGGGAACUGCGUCUGAUACUGGAUGGCUUGAGUUUGGGAGAGGGAUGCGGAAUUCCAGGUGUAGCGGUGAAAUGCGUAGAUAUCAGGAGGAACACCAAUUGCGAAGGCAGCUCGCUGGGACGUUACUGACGCUGAGACGCGAAAGCGUGGGGAGCAAACAGG
rnacentral:rRNA from 1 species